rnacentral:rRNA from 1 species
AUUGAACGCUGGCGGAAUGCUUUACACAUGCAAGUCGAACGGCAGCACGGACUUCGGUCUGGUGGCGAGUGGCGAACGGGUGAGUAAUGUAUCGGAACGUGCCCAGUCGUGGGGGAUAACGUAGUGAAAAUUACGCUAAUACCGCAUACGAUCUAUGGAUGAAAGCGGGGGAUCGCAAGACCUCGCGCGAUUGGAGCGGCCGAUAUCAGAUUAGGUAGUUGGUGGGGUAAAGGCCCACCAAGCCAACGAUCUGUAGCUGGUCUGAGAGGACGACCAGCCACACUGGAACUGAGACACGGUCCAGACUCCUACGGGAGGCAGCAGUGGGGAAUUUUGGACAAUGGGCGAAAGCCUGAUCCAGUCAUUCCGCGUGCAGGAUGAAGGCCCUCGGGUUGUAAACUGCUUUUGUGCAGAACGAAAAGGUUUCUACUAAUACUAGGAGCUCAUGACGGCACUGUAAGAACAAGCACCGGCUAACUACGUGCCAGCCGCCGCAGUAA